rnacentral:lncRNA from 1 species
GCCUUUUUUUUUUUUUUUUUCAGUUUGAUUGCCAACCAACCACACAGGUCCACCCCACUAGCCUUGCCAUCAUACAAGCCAGAGUUGGCUCUCCAAGUGACCCAGAUCGAGCUUCGAAGAAGAGAAUGCUCUUGCUCAGAGCUUGGCCAUAGUCAUGGCCAGCUAAAGCAAGAGGGAAACAGAGAAGCAGAAGCAGAGCAUGCGAACUGAAAGAGAGAGGAUUUCUGGGUUUCAUUCAGCUGGUGGUAUUGUUAAAGCGAAAUCGUGCUGAUAACGUGUUAUAAACUAAAAGAAAAGAUUGGAGAGGGAAUUGAGGUAGAGAGCAGAUCUCAUUAUUGAAAGUUUCUGUUCUUAUCAAUUACAGAGGGA